GAUGAACGCUGGCGGCGUGCCUAAUACAUGCAAGUCGAGCGAACAGAUGAGGAGCUUGCUCCUCUGACGUUAGCGUCUGUCUUGUUCGUAACACGUUUAUAACCUACCUAUCAUACUGUGAUACCUUCGGGAACCCGGAGCUCAUACCGGAUAAUAUAUUUAACCGCAUGGUUCACUAGUUCACGACUGUUUUUCUGUCCCUUAUCUAUUGCUCCGCUCCGCAUUAGCUAGUUGGUAAGGGAACGGCUUACCAAGGCAACGAUGCGUAGCCGACCUGAGAGGGUGAUCGGCCACACUGGAACUGAGACACGGUCCAGAAUACUAAGGGAGGCAGCAGUAGGGAAUCUUCCGAAAUGGGCGAAAGCCUGACGGAGCAACGCCGCGGGAGUGAGGAAGGGAUGAGGAUCGUAAAACUCUGUUAUUAGGGAAGAACAAAUGUGUAAGUAACUAUGCACGGCUUGACGGUACCUAAUCAGAAAGCCACGGCUAACUACGUG
rnacentral:rRNA from 1 species